rnacentral:rRNA from 1 species
GUGGCGAACGGGUGAGUAACACGUGGGCAAUCUGCCCUUCACUCUGGGACAAGCCCUGGAAACGGGGUCUAAUACCGGAUACGAGUUCGGGAGGCAUCUCCUGGACUGGAAAGCUCCGGCGGUGAAGGAUGAGCCCGCGGCCUAUCAGCUUGUUGGUGGGGUAACGGCCCACCAAGGCGACGACGGGUAGCCGGCCUGAGAGGGCGACCGGCCACACUGGGACUGAGACACGGCCCAGACUCCUACGGGAGGCAGCAGUGGGGAAUAUUGCACAAUGGGCGAAAGCCUGAUGCAGCGACGCCGCGUGAGGGAUGACGGCCUUCGGGUUGUAAACCUCUUUCAGCAGGGAAGAAGCGAAAGUGACGGUACCUGCAGAAGAAGCGCCGGCUAACUACGUGCCAGCAGCCGCGGUAAUACGUAGGGCGCAAGCGUUGUCCGGAAUUAUUGGGCGUAAAGAGCUCGUAGGCGGCUUGUCACGUCGGGUGUGAAAGCCCGGGGCUUAACCCCGGGUCUGCAUCCGAUACGGGCAGGCUAGAGUGUGGUAGGGGAGAUCGGAAUUCCUGGUGUAGCGGUGAAAU